rnacentral:sRNA from 1 species
GUUUCAAUUCCUCAUAGGCAGGCUAUCGGCUUAGAAAUAACAGGAAAUCCGCAUUCUCUGAUGACUUG